rnacentral:tRNA from 1 species
GAAUUAGUUAAUAAAUAACAUAAAUAUGUCAAAUUUAAAUUAUUAUAAAAAUAAUAUUCUUUAAUC